rnacentral:rRNA from 2 species
UCUGGUGUCAGCCGCCGCGGUAAAACCAGCACCUCAAGUGGUCAGGAUGAUUAUUGGGCCUAAAGCAUCCGUAGCCGGCUCUGUAAGUUUUCGGUUAAAUCUGUAUGCUCAACAUACAGGCUGCCGGGAAUACUGCAGAGCUAGGGAGUGGGAGAGGUAGACGGUACUCGGUAGGAAGGGGUAAAAUCCUUUGAUCUAUUGAUGACCACCUGUGGCGAAGGCGGUCUACCAGAACACGUCCGACGGUGAGGGAUGAAAGCUGGGGGAGCAAACCGGAUUAGAUACCCGGGUAGUCGCAGCUGUAAACUAUGCAAACUCAGUGAUGCAUUGGCUUGUGGCCAAUGCAGUGCUGCAGGGAAGCCGUUAAGUUUGCCGCCUGGGAAGUACGUACGCAAGUAUGAAACUUAAAG